rnacentral:rRNA from 1 species
CUACGGGCGGCAGCAGUGGGGAAUAUUGGGCAAUGGGCGAAAGCCUGACCCAGCAACGCCGCGUGAAGGAAGAAGGCUUUCGGGUCGUAAACUUCUAUCCCAGAUGAAGAUAAUGACGGUAAUCUGGAAGGAAGCCCCGGCUAACUACGUGCCAGCAGCCGCGGUAAUACGUAGGGGGCAAGCGUUGUCCGGAAUGAUUGGGCGUAAAGGGCGCGUAGGCGGCCUUUUAAGUCCGAUGUGAAAGUCCUGCUUUUAAGGUGGGAAUUGCAUUGGAAACUGGAAGGCUUGAGUGCAGGAGAGGUAAGUGGAAUUCCCGGUGUAGCGGUGAAAUGCGUAGAGAUCGGGAGGAACACCAGUGGCGAAGGCGACUUACUGGACUGUAACUGACGCUGAGGCGCGAAAGUGUGGGGAGCAAACAGGAUUAGAUACCCGAGUAGUC